ACAAGCAGUGCUCUCAGUGCUGUUGUUUCUCGUGAUGUUGAUUCAGAAAGUGCAUGGACGCUGUGAAGAAGGAGUGGGGCGUCAGGAGAUGGCUCUGGCUUUCCUUACACUACUGAAGCUGCAUCAGGAGGAAAACUCGCUCGAGGACGCCCAGCUUCUGAUGCUCGAGAGAGACGGGUGUAAACAAUAAGUGCAUGAUUAUUAUUUCUGAUCUGCAGAAACUUUCACUUCCCUUAGUAGAAAGAAAACUACGAGGCGUCUGUAAUGUGUUGCAGAUGAUUCCUGAAAUGAAGGAGAAGGAAUGAAAAAGAAGACUCUCGAUGACUAAGAAGUCCGAGUACAUUUGAUAAGAACAGGGAGCGCAAACGCUGCGUUUCUCAAACCUGCUGCUUUCCAGGAACCACAGCCUGCCUGCAGUUAGAUGAACAUUUCAUAUUUGUCCAAAUCUAAUCAUUUUCA